CUUAAAGUCUCUAUCAGAGUCAUUUGCUAUUUUGAAUUAAGAUUGUGUGAUUCUGGUUCAGUGGGGCCCAAGAAUCAGUUGUGAUUAACAAGACACCAGAACUACUAAAUUGAAACUUUGCUUUGCUGGUGUACUUGAUGCUUCUCAGCUAGAGCUAAGAAGUUAGUGGGGAUUAAGAGGAGACCAGAGGCCUGGGUAGUGGUGGCACACUCCUUUAAUGUCAGUACUUGGGAGGCAGAUACAGGUGGAUAUCUGUGAGUUUGAGACCAGCCUGGUCUACAAGAGCUAGUUCCAAGAUAGGCUCCAAAGCCACACAGGGAACUCCUGUCUCAAAAAGUCAGAAACAAAAGUUAAUCAAGUGAAAUCUUCUGGGAAGUAUGUCUCGAGAGCAUUGAAAAUCUGUGUUCCAGAGUCAGCCGAGGUUGUACCAUAUGCUGGCAGCCAGACUUUUACUAUGAGUAAGAGUCACCUAGGUAGUACUGUGUUUUGAAGGCAUGGAGAGCAGCUGAGGGUUGGCACUGUGAGAAGGCAGGAGAGGCCAUUGGUGAAGGUACAACCUCACUGGUAGUUGAAGGCCUGGGACUGAAGGGGUCACACAAAUACACUGAGGCUUGGCACCAUGAAGAGAGCCUAUGAGAGGCUAUUGGUAAAAGUUCUGGUCAGCUGCAACAUUUUGUAGAUGCCAGUAGAACAUGGAAUGACCACCACCAACAGCAGCAGAGGAGUGGGGUGGAGCCAUCUUGAGCCUAGAAUACAAGCUGUGUUUGCUGCAGAGGGCAGAACCUGAGAAAUGACCCACCUCUUUGAAGGAAUCUAGAAGAUUCAGAUUCACUGAGUUGUGAAAUCUGGACAUAUACACGCCAGGCAGGAGUUGGUUUCCAGGAUGCUGGCUCAAUGGAACUGAAAAGUUGCUUCACAGAUUUUGAAGUGGGACCAGUUCAUCCAUCAAGCUUAUUGCCAGCCAGCAGGCUGAGAGCACAUGAGGGUCCACCAAUGGGGAUAAUGGGCAUACAGGCUCGGAUAUGUGACUCAAGGAAACUAAAACCAUAACAAUUAAGAUCAUAGAAAGUGAAGAAGAGUGGAGCAAGAAGCAAAAGAACUAUUGGAUGAGUCAAGAGUUGAUCUAGAGAUGAAUGCAACUGAGAGCCAAGGAGGAACAGAGCAUGUGCAGCACCGACUAGGAGGGGGGAGGACUGACAUCAUGAUACAAAGAGGAUCCAGCAGGGAAUUCCUAAAGUUACCUGAGCUGAUGUUGGUUGGGAGCACAAACCUAUGCAAAGAUAGCCCUCACCCAGCCAAGGAACUCAAGACCAACAAAUCUUUGAAGUCUACUAGUCAGCAAGGAGAACCAAGCUGUUGAACUUCCUCUGUGAGAGACUGUCAGAAGAUUAUAAGUUGCAAGAAAAGAGGGGCACCCAGGCCCUAGACUGGGUGUUGACAUGAAGAGCUGUAAGGCAAAUAGAGCAGGGUUUGUAAUGUGCUGCUCUAAUUAUUGGGCCUGAAACCAAGUUUAAGAUGAGGUUCAGGGGCAGGAAACAGACUGACCAUGAAGGACACCUUGUAUGGGAGCUCAAGAAGCAGCCAGUGGUGUACUAGAACUGAGGCAACCAUCAUGUCUUUGCUUAACAUUAGACUAACAUGACAUUGUGGUGGGGGUGUGCAGAGUGUCUGCAUCACACCAAUGAUGAGUUAGGCAGAUGCCACUUGGCUUUGUGGAUUGCUAUUAAAACAUAGAGAGUGCAAAUAAACCCACACAGGCAUAAUUUAGAGGAGAAUUUUUAAUGGCAGAAGUAGAAAACAAUAUAUGGUAUGGCAUGUAGAAGAUAUGAAUAUGGGGCUUAGUGAAAGAAUCAAUUACCAGUCAAUGACAAAGAAAAGGGACAUGACAGGUGGCAUUCCUUCAGAUUACUUCUCAGCAGCAGAGUUCAGAGUCCAGAGUCCAGGUAGAUGUGAGGCUACAUGCAUGGAGAUGUGAGUCCAGCCUGGAGAGGAGUUUUCAGUGUUUAAGCUCUUUGGAUGUGAACCUGACAGUUUCCAGUCACCUACCCAGUGCAUUCUGCAGAGGAACACAGUAACCCACAGAUUGUUUUCACUCCCCAAAAGUCCAUAAGGUUUGAAUCCUGAAGGAUCUAGGCAGUCUCAGCAGGGAGGUGGUAUCUUCUUUGCAAGUAAAGGCUCACUCCCCAUCCCUGUCCUCUGAGGAGGAGGAGACCAGAAAGACCUCAUAGAAGACACUCCAUGAGACCUAGGAGCUGGCUCCCUUCGCUUAUCUUGAGAGGCUGGGCUCAUUCAAGGCAUAUAAUUCCAAUUAUUCUUCAGAAAAUGCUGUUCAAUUAAAGAGUAAAGCUGGCCUUAUAGUGUGGCUCUCUCCUUCUCUAAAACAAUGCAUGAUUGCUAGAAAGCAUCAACAUUCUCUAUCUGGUGUCAGAGGAGCCACCUGUUAAAAAAAGAAGAACACAUUUUUAAGUUCCUUUUUAUUGCCACUGAAAGAAAGGCCUUGAAGAAUCUAAGGAAACAAGCCAUUCCAAAACCGGCUCUUUGGUUUCCUGCACCCUGGAGGAAUCCCUUUCCAGAUGAGUAAAAUAAAUUUAUGCCUAUGGAGUAAUCCCUAUUGUUCUUGAGGAGAGAAGAGAUAAGCAAAACCGGAUAAUUUAGAGGAGUCAGAGACCAAUUUUUUCCUUUAAUUAGAAACACUCAUGCUUCAAAUGUCAAUCCAAGCUCCUCCACUCUGGAUGAAAUUUGAUAAGGAUUUGAAUUGGGAUCUCCCCAAACGUUAGUGGAGGGAAUGAUUUUUGCUUUUGGUUUUUUGUUUUCUUCCUAGAAAAUA